rnacentral:rRNA from 1 species
GACGAACGCUGGCGGCGUGCUUAACACAUGCAAGUCGAACGGUAAGGCCCUUCGGGGUACACGAGUGGCGAACGGGUGAGUAACACGUGGGUGAUCUGCCCUGCACUUCGGGAUAAGCCUGGGAAACUGGGUCUAAUACCGGAUAGGACCACUGACUGCAUGGGGGGUGGUGGGAAGCUUUUGGGGUGGGGGAUGGGCCCGCGGCCUACUAGCUUGUUGGUGGGGUGAUGGCCCACCAAGGAGUGGAGGGGUAGCCGGCCUGAGAGGGGGUCCGGCCACACUGGGAAUGGGAUACGGCCCAGACUCCUACGGGAGGGCGCAGUGGGGAAUAUUGCACAAUGGGCGCAAGCCUGAUGCAGCGACGCCGCGUGAGGGAUGACGGCCUUCGGGUUGUAAACCUCUUUCAGCACCGACGAAGCGCAAGUGACGGUAGGUGCAGAAGAAGGACCGGCCAACUACGUGCCAGCCGCCGCCGUAACAC